UGCCAGCCGCCGCGGUAAUACGGAGGAUCCGAGCGUUAUCCGGAUUUAUUGGGUUUAAAGGGAGCGUAGGCGGACGCUUAAGUCAGUUGUGAAAGUUUGCGGCUCAACCGUAAAAUUGCAGUUGAUACUGGGUGUCUUGAGUACAGUAGAGGCAGGCGGAAUUCGUGGUGUAGCGGUGAAAUGCUUAGAUAUCACGAAGAACUCCGAUUGCGAAGGCAGCUUGCUGGACUGUAACUGACGCUGAUGCUCGAAAGUGUGGGUAUCAAACAGGAUUAGAUA
rnacentral:rRNA from 1 species